rnacentral:rRNA from 1 species
CCUACGGGAGGCAGCAGUGGGGAAUAUUGGACAAUGGGCGCAAGCCUGAUCCAGCCAUGCCGCGUGGGUGAAGAAGGCCUUCGGGUUGUAAAGCCCUUUCGGCGGGGAAGAUAAUGACGGUACCCGCAGAAGAAGCCCCGGCUAACUCCGUGCCAGCAGCCGCGGUAAUACGGAGGGGGCUAGCGUUGUUCGGAGUCACUGGGCGUAAAGCGCACGUAGGCGGUCCGGCAAGUUGGGCGUGAAAGCCCGGGGCUCAACCCCGGAGGUGCGUCCGAGACUGCCGGACUGGAGGCCGGGAGAGGGUGGUGGAAUUCCCAGUGUAGAGGUGAAAUUCGUAGAUAUUGGGAAGAACACCGGUGGCGAAGGCGACCACCUGGCCCGGUACUGACGCUGAGGUGCGAAAGCGUGGGGAGCAAACAGGAUUAGAUACCCUAGUAGUC